rnacentral:tRNA from 1 species
ACCCCUGUAGCUCAACGGAAGAGCACCUGCCUUACAAGCAGGUUGUCGAGAGUUCGACUCUCUCCGGGGGUA